rnacentral:sRNA from 1 species
GCACACCUGUUAUCCUGCUGUUUGGAAGGCAGAGUCAGUGAACUCCCUGGGAAGCUGACUAACUAGAUUAGUCAAAUGGAUGAGUUCCAGGUUCAGUGACAGACCCUGCCUCAGCACAGGGGAGAGUGAUCGAGGAGGUCAUGCAGUGUUACACAUAACCACACAACUACAUCCCCUGGGCAGGCCACUGGGAAGUCUAGUGAGACACAUCGUUGGCUUGCCCAGGACCCAGGAAACCUUUUAGGCCAACUGAGGUGCUGGGUAUGAAUGGUGACAUAUGCAGCUCUUUACUGGAAACUAUAGAAGGCUCUCAAGUUUGAGGCCUGCCUGGGCUGCAUAGAAGCUUGAAAACAACAGCAACAACAACAAAAAGACCAAGACAAGCCCAGUGCUCAGUGGCUCAGUUGCAGAAGACCCCACGGGUGCUGCAAGAGACCAGCUGGAACGGCUCGAGGACCGCCCGGGUCAGAGAGUACUUGGGCAGUGUGGAGCUGCUGAGAUGAAAGUAUCCCACAGUGCCAUGGGCCUAUGGGUGCCAGCGCUAGCCCAGGAUAAAAAGGAACACCAGAGACCCCUCAUUAGACUGGUGAUUCUCAUCCGGAGGAAUCGGGCACAGUUCUGGAACCCUGGUGGAAGGGAUCUUUCCUGAGGUUGUUAACCACUGUCAGAGCCCUCAAAGGUGGACGGUAUUGCUGCCUGGGUGCUCGUGUCCCAUAUGAAGCCUGCAGAUGCCCUGCUCCCCGGGACUCCCACUGCUUCCUUGUGCCGGUUUGUCAAACCUGGUCUGUGGUUUCCACUGGAACUGGAGAUGAGUUUGCCUCCUUGAUGGACUCCAAACCCUUCAACACCUGGUGGCCUGACUUCACUUUCAACCUGUGCCAGCAGGCAGCAGGACUUGACUGCUGGGACAUCCCCACCCAUGAUGGGAGCACUGGCGGAAGCAAACUGCACAUAUGGGAGAAAGAGGGCUCUGGGCUGGGGUUAGGGGGUGGGCUGUAGGAUGUGCAUUCCCUGCACAGAUAUCGCCUGCAGGAGACCCCACUUAAGUUUGCCCUCGAGAUGGAAGAAGCCGGGCAGAAGUUCACCGAUGUGGGGGUCCAGACUAGUUUUAUUGACCAGCCUGGGAAUGCCACACUACAGGAGACACCUACUGGAACCCCUCCUCUUCUUGGGACUUGAUCAUGGAAAAAAAUUAUACUAUAGGGGGACCCUAUCUGGGGGACCAAGGGUAUUGGGAUACUCCCUGGGCAAACACCACCUGUAACCCAAUAAUAAUCAGAUUCACUCAGAAAGGCAAAGAAGCAACAGGAUGGCUAAAGGGAAAAACUUGGGGACUCAGGUUGUACAAAUUGGGGUAUGAUGAUGGCCAAGGUGAGAAAAGGGAUAGCCAAACAGAAAAAGAGAAAGAGAGCAGUCAGAGCUGGUUCGAGUCUUGGUUUAACUCGUCUCCUUGGCUAACCACCCUCAUAUCCACCUUGUUAAGACCCCCUCUUUGUUCUGCUAUUGUUGACCUUUGGACCCCGCAUAUUGAACAAGUUUAUAGCCUUCAUAAAAGAGAGAAUGGGGAGCAGUGCAGCUGAUGGUCCUGCACCAAUAAUAUGAGACCCUGAGGACAGGACCUGAAGAAUAUGAGUUAGUCAUCAGAGGCCCCUGAGUGUAGCUCCAAGAUUAGAGCUUGUACAAGAAAAAGGGACCCUUAGGGCUUUCACCAGCCUUACACCCACCUGCCUUGGGACAAGGCUAGGCCAAGUUCCAUUGUCCACCCACAGGAAUAUUCUUCAGUAAAAAAAGUUCUCAGAA